UUAAACUUUAACCAAAUUCUAAGUCAAAUCUUAAUAAAAUCUUAGUCAAAUCCUAAUCAAAUCCUAGUCAAGUUCAAAAUCAAAAUCCUAAUCUUAACUAAAUCCUAGACCGAAUCCUAAGCCCUAACCAAAAUGUAGACAAAUCCUAAAUCAAAUCCUAAUCAAACACUGGAUCUUAAAUAAACUCAUAACAAAUCCUAUAACAAAAUGGAAC
rnacentral:lncRNA from 1 species